UACGUAGGGUGCGAGCGUUAAUCGGAAUUACUGGGCGUAAAGAGCUCGUAGGUGGUUUGUCGCGUUGUCCGUGAAAACUCACAACUCAAUUGUGGGCGUGCGGGCGAUACGGGCAGACUGGAGUACUGCAGGGGAGACUGGAAUUCCUGGUGUAGCGGUGGAAUGCGCAGAUAUCAGGAAGAACACCCGUGGCGAAGGCGGUUCUCUGGGACGGUACUGACGCUGAGACGCGA
rnacentral:rRNA from 1 species